GACGAACGCUGGCGGCGUGCCUAAUACAUGCAAGUCGAACGCAUUUUCUUUCACCGUAGCUUGCUACACCGAAAGAAACUGAGUGGCGAACGGGUGAGUAACACGUGGGUAACCUGCCCAUCAGCGGGGGAUAACACUUGGAAACAGGUGCUAAUACCGCAUAAUUCCAUUUACCGCAUGGUAUAUGGAUGAAAGGCGCUUUUGCGUCACUGAUGGAUGGACCCGCGGUGCAUUAGCUAGUUGGUGGGGUAACGGCCUACCAAGGCUGCGAUGCAUAGCCGGACUGAGAGGGUGAUCGGCCACACUGGGACGGAGACAAGGCCCAGACGCCUACGGGAGGCAGCAGUAGGGAAUCUUCGGCAAUGGACGCAAGUCUGACCGAGCAACGCCGCGUGAGUGAAGAAGGUUUUCGGAUCGUAAAACUCGGUUGUUAGAGAAGAACAAGGAUGAGAGUGGAAAGUUCAUCCCUUGACGGUAUCUAACCAGAAAGCCACGGCUAACUACGUG
rnacentral:rRNA from 1 species